rnacentral:rRNA from 1 species
ACAGAGGGGGCAAGCGUUGUUCGGAAUUACUGGGCGUAAAGGGCGCGUAGGCGGCCUUCUAAGUCGAACGUGAAGGCCCCGGGCUCAACCCGGGAAGUGCACUCGAUACUGCGUAGCUUGAGUCUCGGAGAGGUUGGUGGAAUUCUCGGUGUAGAGGUGAAAUUCGUAGAUACCGAGAGGAACACCGGUGGCGAAGGCGGCCAACUGGACGAAGACUGACGCUGAGACACGAAAGCGUGGGGAGCAAACAGGA